rnacentral:rRNA from 1 species
UACGUAGGGUGCAAGCGUUGUCCGGAAUUAUUGGGCGUAAAGAGCUCGUAGGUGGUCUGUCGCGUCUGCUGUGAAAACUCGGGGCUUAACUCCGGGCCUGCAGUGGGUACGGGCAGACUAGAGUGCGGUAGGGGAGACUGGAAUUCCUGGUGUAGCGGUGAAAUGCGCAGAUAUCAGGAGGAACACCGGUGGCGAAGGCGGCUCACUGGUCCGGUACUGACGCUGAGGUGCGAAAGCGUGGGGAGCAAACAGG